rnacentral:lncRNA from 1 species
UAGAGAACACACAUUUAAUCCCCUCUUGGGAGGCAGGUAAUCUCUGUGUGUACAAGCAAUAGGCCAACAAAAGCUACAUAGUGAGAGCCUGCUUUUUAAAAUAUAAACAAGGUGGCUGGAGAGAUUGUUCAGGGGUUAAUAGAACUUACAAAGAUCCUGCGGGGGAGCCAGAUUCAGUUCUCAGCACCCACAUGGCAGCUCACAACUGUCUGUAACUCCAGUUCCAGGGAAUCUGAUGCCUUCUUCUCACCUCCACAGCCUCAUGGACACGUGAUGCAAAAACACACAUACAGGCAAAACACUCAUACACAUAAAUAAAACAAGCCUUCAAAAAAAAGUUAAUAAAGUAGAGAACACUAGAGGAAGGAACUUAAUGUUAUCUCUGGCCUUGACACACAUGCACUGCCACAGUACCUUUGCUCUUGCUUCCUUAACCAAACCCAUACUGUAAACAGAGCUUUGCAGAAAUAAACGUUUCCAUCUACUGCACCUCUCUCUGGCCUGACAUGAACAACUUACAAUAUGCACAUAGCAAGACAACUUAUUGUGGUGGUUCGAAUAAAAAUGUGCCCCAUAGGCUCAUGUGUUUGCACACUUGGUUCCCAGCUGAUGGUGCAAUUUGGGGAGGUUAUGUACCCCCUAACCAUUAGGAGGCACAGCCUUGCUGGAGGAAGUAUAUCUCUGAGAGGCGACACUGAAGGUCUAUAGCUUUACCUCAUUCCAGUUCACUCAGCUUCCUGUGUGAUGAAAUAUGAUAUCAGCUUUCUGUUUCGGCCACCCGCUGCUAUGCUUCCCCUGCCAUUAUAGACUCUUCCUCUGGAACCACAAGUCCCGUUAGUUAAACUCUCCGUAACUUAUGUUGCCUUUGGUUCU